rnacentral:rRNA from 1 species
AAUCAACGCUGGCGGCGUGCCUCAGACAUGCAAGUCGAACGCGAAAGUCCCCGUUCGGGGGGCAAGUAGAGUGGCGCACGGGUGAGUAACACGUAGGUAAUCUACCUUUGGAUGGGGAAUAACAACCGGAGACGGUUGCUAAUACCGCAUAAUGCAGCGGCACCUAAUGGUGACAGUUGUUAAAGCGGGGGAUCGAAAGACCUCGCGUCUGAAGAGGAGCCUGCGGCGGAUUAGCAGUUGGUAAGGUAACGGCUUACCAAGGCGACGAUCCGUAGCCGGCCUGAGAGGGCGGUCGGCCACACUGACACUGACAUACGGGUCAGACUCCUACGGGAGGCAGCAGUCGGGAAUUUUGGGCAAUGGGCGAAAGCCUGACCCAGCAACGCCGCGCGAAGGAU